rnacentral:rRNA from 1 species
AGGUGCAAAUCGCGUGUAGCUGCGGACGGGUGAGUAAUACCUAGGAAUCUGCCUGGUAGUGGGGGAUAACGUUCGGAAACGGACGCUAAUACCGCAUCCUAUCAGAUGAGCCUAGGUCUGAUUAGCUAGUUGGUGAGGUAAUGGCUCACCAAGGCUACGAUCCGUAACUGGUCUGAGAGGAUGAUCAGUCAAACUGGAACUGGUACACGGUCCAGACGCCUAAGGGAGGCAGCAGUGGGGAAUAUUGGACAAGGGGCGAAAGCCUGAUCCAGCCAUGCCGCGUGUGUGAAGAAGGUCUGCGGAUUGUAAAGCACUUUAAGUUGGGAGGCGGUACCGACAGAAUAAGCACCGGCUAACUCUGUGCCAGCAGCCGCGGUAAUAC